GCGGGGUGCGGCUUCCCCGGCGCCCGCCCCCCCCGCGGCGCCCCCCGCCCCGCUCACCGCCGCCUCUCCCCGCAGCUCCCGCCGUCCCCGGGAAGCCGCUGUCUCGGCACGACGCCGCGGAGCAGCCGGCGGACGCCAAGUUUCUGAAUCUCAUUCACCAUGCAGCUUUGGAGCCAAUCAAGAAAUACUCGGAGCCACAAACAGAGAGCCAGGAAAUUGGCUGGACCACUACACCCUUGUGACAAGGGGUUAUCUGGUUUGGAACAUCUCAAGAAACCGAUUAACAACCAGGAAAAACAUCAAGUUUUAAGGAGUAACCAGACACCUAGGAGCCAGCUUGAAAUUAUUACGAAUAUAGUAUACUGGAAGGGCUUCUCAGAUGGCCUAGCUAUACUUGCACUGUAAAGUCAACAUCAGUGUUUUGUAUUUUACCUGUUGUGAAUAAGCUUCAGCUUAGCAUGACUUUCAAAUCUUACUGUAGUCUUUUAACAUACUUAAGGGGAUUGAUUACUUGGAGUGUUCAUAAACUUAGUGAGAAGGACUUCUGCCAGUCAUCUCAGGAAAAGUAUGACAGCAUUUGUGGUCAGGGCUCCAAUGGACUGGAUGUUGUGAUGAACCCUUAACCAUUGUUCAAAUGUCGCCCGUACCCCCUCUGACUCAGUCUCUUGCCUCAGCAUUCCCUAACUCAACAACUGAGUUGUAGUCAAUCACGUUUAAAUAGGCCUCCCGUACUGGGACUGGGGAAUGUAUGGCCCGAGAUGCCUAUUAAACUUUUCUUCUGCUUAGUUCUGGUUAGAUGAGGUGUGUGUGUUUGGGGGGUGGAAUUGAAAAAGUCCUUUGUAAGUCCAGCAAGCUGGGUUCCAGGGCUCCCUCAGGAACACAGAACUGACAGAUAACAUCUCCCACAGGGUGUGCCCAGGGCUCAAACCCUGCUCUCUGGCCCUGAAACUCUUCAGUGCCUCUCUCUGGCUGAGGAAUAUACAUGGAGCAAAAACUUCAGGGAUCCUCAGAGGGGGAGUCAUUUGCAUGAUAGAGUAGAAAUGAUAGGAUCCCCUUCCCCAUCAUGUCUCAAAAUGUUCAUGCAACUACAUCAAAAAGAUGGAAUUCAGCUCUGUAUCACUGCCACCCAGCACAAUAAAUUAAAGAAACAAGAGAAAGAAGCAACAGCUGUCAGGUAAUAAAGUUACAAGUAUGUGUAGAAGAAUGUGGUACCAUGCCUCAGCCUUCAAUUAAGUGAGAAAAAGGAACAAAGAAAUUAAUAAUCAGCCUGAGAUCUACCCCAGGCAGAAUUUUCCAAGUAAUGAUGAAAACACCCAAGAAAAAAUGAAUAAUAUUGAGAAUAUCUGUUUAUUAAAAAAGUAACAUCUUACAAAAGCAGUAGUUUUAAUCAUGCUGGCUGAUUGAGCAGAUGUAGUACCAAAGUUCCUUGAAGACUCCUGGUUUUCUAAAUCUCCCAAUUAGCUAAAGGAGGGUACAAUUGAAAAAAGUUUGUUUUAGAACUGAAGACAGGAUUGACAGGUGGAUGUUAAGAGUUCCUGCUACUGAGAAGGAAAAAUUACCAGUAAAUACUCAGUGGAGUGGCAUGGACUUAUGUCCUUCCAGAACCAGCCACUUCUCGAACAGACAUCCCUGCAACUGCCUAUUGCUAAAGGGUGGCAAGGUAUAUAAUGUGCUAAUUCGUUUUCUAUUAGACAAGUAUCAGUCUUGUAACUAAAACUGCGCAAAAUUAAAUCAAGCAUUCACAUUGUGCCUCUUUCCUCAAUUGCUCAAGCCUGCCAGGCUGUUACUUCAUGGGAUAUGAGAGACACCAAAAAGCCAAACCUUUGUGCAACUCCCGGGUAGGGCGCCCCCUUCUCUCAGGAUAACUUAUCUUUUACCUUAAAUAACAUCACUCCCUUAACUUACCUUGCCUACAAAAAGUGCCGGACUUGGACAAUCUUUGGAGUAAUGGGGGACAAAUCUCUUUCUGUGGAUUCUGACACAGUGCAAGUCAACUUGUACUGCUUCCUGGCUACUGGCGAUUCUCCUCCCUGUGCUACAAGGUCCAACUGGGAUGGUUGAAAGGAGCUUACCAAAAGAGAAUGAACAGGUUUGGUCCUUUGAGGGAGAGGACUGGGAAACUACAAAUGAGUUUAGCCACCUCCAUGCUAUAUGCAUUAGACAAGUGGCAGGUCAUUUUGUUUAAUUGAAAAAGUAGGUUUGUAUUUCUAAUUUAAGAAAGAGGAAAUGCAACAGUGAGAUGACUAGCAGAGAGCAUUACAUACUGAAGGGAUAAUACAAAAAGCCUGAGAAUUUUAGAAAUGAGACAUGGGAGGCUAGAAAGAUGCACGCUGCAAGUAGAAGAGGCAGAUAAAGGUCUUGAAAAGAGGCAAAUUAUGAGCAGCUAUAUGCAGAGGAAAAAAACAGAUCCUCUUCGCUCCAUAUUCCUACACAUCUUCAUGGUCAGUGUUACUGGCCUCAGUGCUCCUUUUAAUCCUCUGUACCAAGGAUAGGCAACCCCCAGCACACAUGCCAAUUAGCGGCAUGUGCAACUGGGCAUGCCAGGAGGUGUACAAGGAAACUAUUUAAACAAAACAUUUUUAAGUUGCUCCUUCAGGUUCUCCAGAACAGCCACAGGUCCCACCUCUAGAGAUUGUGCUGUGCCUGGUGUGCACAGAUGGCAAGUGCAGACGGGCAGGGUGGCUGUGGGAGGUAGGGGCUGCCCCAGGGCUACACAGACUUGGGCUGCAGCGGGUGGUUGGGGGGUGCCCAGUGGCACCCAGGCUGGAGCCUGGCCCAACCCAUGCAGCUUUGUGGAGGUGGGCUGUAGCCACCCUGCCUGCAAGGGGAUGCUGCCUGGCUGGGGCAGGAGGCAGGUCUUGCGGGGGGCACUCCCAGCUCUGGGCUUAGUAUCUCUGCACGCUGGGCACAGUAUGAGUGGGGUACAGCCACCCCUAGUGCAAGGGCCUGGCUACGGGGCAUAGACACUGGAGACCCCUGGGCCUCUGCUCAGGGCUGAGCUGGCUGGGAGCCUCCAGCACAGCAACUUUCUGCAGUGCCUGCCUGAGCCCCAGAGUGAGGUGGGCAAGGCCAGAGCUUGGGCAGGCACUAGGGAGGGUCAUUGUCCGGGUAGCAGAGCCAGGAAGGGACAGCACCAGGGCUCAGCCCUCAGGGAAGGGUCCAGGUAGCAAGGGGGCAGGUUGGCACUGCCAGGCUCCUGGGAAGGCAGCAGCUGGAGUGCAGGGGCUGGGCGGAAACCAGGGGCUGCCCUGGAGCUUCACAGGCUCGGGUGGGUGGGGGUACCCAGCAGCAUCCAAGGUGAGGCCUGGUCUGGCCCGCGCAGCUCUGUGGAGAUGGGCCACAGCCGCCCUGGCCAUGAGGGACACCGCCUGGGCAGCUCAGAAGGAUGGGCCCAAGGCUGGGCUCUGGGGGGCUCCUAGGUCUGGCCUUAGCCUCCCUAUGUGCCAGGUACCAUGUGCAGGGCCCCAGCUGUAGGAGCCCCCUAGACCCCAGAAACAGCCAUCACAGCUGGCACAGCCCUUUCUUUCUUUUCUCUCGUUUUUUCGCAUAUUAAUAUGCAGUGCAUCCUGCCAUGUACCCUCUACCCUUUUGUUUUUCUGGCAUGCCAGCACUCUGGACCCUUACAAGGUAGACAUUGUGUUUUUUUCAGCACUCCAGCCAAAAUAGUUGCCUACCUACUGCUUUAUACUAAUAGCCUUCCAACCAAACACAGCUAAGGGGAGGGAGUCUGUUCUUGCGAAGAGCUCACUAGGUUCUCCUGCUCCAAAAAUGUCAUAUUAUGGUGCUCCUCAGGUGCGUCAGUGGCCAGUGAGAAGAGGCCAAGCCAGAGCUGUGGGUCCAACUUUCAAAAGCAGGGAGCAUCUACUAGACUGUGUGUGCUUGGAUUUCAUCUCAUUUCUGCAGAUCAGCGUGGACCGCACUGACCGCAGGCUCUACUUCCCACGCCAGAAGAGCGAGAUCACCAAGUACAUGGAAGCCACAUGGCGCCUGAAGGAGCAGAGUGAAAAUAUGCAGUAGGGUGAUAGUACAAGCACUGCUUUGCUAGGCAGGCAGGUGGGUGCUGACUGGAGUUUCCACACAAUGUUCUGCCUCCUUGUGCCAUGUGUAGUCCUAUUGAUUUCUGGGAAGGAGGACAAGGGAGGAAUCCUUGUCUGGCCAGACCUGUAAGUUGAUUAUGGUUACAAAAUAAAUCUGUUUGGAAGUGUAA